CCCCGCCAUUAUGACUUAAAAAACAUCUGCAUGGAACAUAGCUGCUUUCACAAGAAUCAUUUCCUCUUUAGUGCAAAUUGCACCAGGCUCACAGGGCGUCCUGUGGGAAUUGCUGGUCUAAAAGAAGCCAGUGGAGAAACGCCUGGCUUCGUCCCGACCUCUGCGCUAAACAAGAGGAAGUGGUCGCCCUCGCGCAAGUUUUCCAGAAUUUCAGCGGAAGCCGACUUGGAGCACCAGAAAUUCUACUUAAGCUGGAGCAAUCCGUCAUCUACUGCUGUCAAGGUCCCACGUAGAGAGAAAAGUCCUCGUGGAGGCGAACCAGUGCCUCAGUUUCCUCCUUCAGAGAAUGAAGAAAACACUUCCCCUUCUCGUCAAGCGCUGUGAGGCUCAAUGGUUGCUAGGAAUCCACUUGGAAAUCUGUACACAAAAGGUGCUGCCGUGGAUGUGAGAUGAGACGUGAGCAUCUGCUAUUACUGGGUCCCACUCUCGUGAUCCCUUUUCGAGUGUCUACCACUUCUGCUUUCAACAAGUAUGCCUUUUGUCCUGCUAUCCUGGGUCCCUUGAUUAAUUCUCUAAUGUUUAAAAAUUGCAUUUGCAGAUAAAGUGACAACGGACAUAAAGCUGUCAUUACACCCCUUAAAAAUGGUUAGAUCGUAUUUUUUAUCUGAACAUAUGUUGCCUUCUUGGGAGUUUGAUGAGUGGUUCAGAAAGUAGCAGGUCAAAACAAUAACCAUGAAAGUCUUUAGAA
rnacentral:lncRNA from 1 species